UAAAAACAGAGACAAAAAAAAAUCAAUUGAACCCUAUCGUUCUCUCUUCUCCAGCGACACAGUCCUCACCCAAUUACCUCCACGACCAUCACCACCGUCCUCUCCUAUCUGUCUGUCAUCUCCACCUUGUCUCCGUCUAUCUCGUCUCAUCCUCGUCACCACCGUACCUAUCCCCUAGUCUCCUCCUUUGAAAAUAAACAGAUGAUGGAGUGGUUCUUCUUCCAAGACGUUUCGGGUUUUCGAUUUGCCCUCGUCGGAUUCAAUCCCAUCUAUUGGAACACAGAAAUUCCUAUAUCUGCUCAUAUGGGUUUUCAUUUUAAGGGUUUCUGAUUGAUUCUAUGGUAGAAAUCUCCCUUCUUUUGUGAGUGAGUGGUGGUAGUGUUGAUGUUACCAGAAUCUCAUCCUCGUCACAACAGCUCCUCUCCUCCUCGUCUCCUUUUGUGUUUGUGAUAGGCCCACGGGAAUCAAAGUACACAUUUCUUCAAGAAUCUGAUGACCAGAUUCAAGCUUCUUCUGCUAAAGAGUUCAACAAUAUCGUUGGGAUUAAACUAAGACCUAUGAAGUUAUUGUUAGGUGCUCUUGUUGGUCUCUGUUGUCUUUCUCUCAUGCCUUCUUGUCUCAUCGUCUUCUGGCUUGCAGGAGUUGCAGCAGCAGACAAUCUUACUAAACAGAAACUGAACUCGAAGAUACUUCUGGUCUUGUCUGUAUUCUCUUUUUGUUUUCUUGAUACCCUUUUUUGAUCACUACUUACAGUUAAUGUGUGUGAGCAGGAGGAGCAGAAACAUUGUUGACACCUCAUAUCAAGGACUACUCGAGUUUAGUAUUCUCUCAGCUUCAGGAGCUGUCUAGUGUGGUACUUCUUCACUCCAAGGAUCUAAACAUUCCUACUGGAGUUGUUACGGGCUAUUUGAUAUCAUUGCUAUGUCAGGUUCUUUCUUGAAUACUGAGAGUAAUGGUACUUUGAGCAGAACGUGCAUCUUGUUGGUCCUGAUGGUUGUAUUGUGGGCUUUGUUGCUGGAAUGCUAGUUGCUAGGUCACAAGUCCAGGUCAUUGUUGGAAGCUUUGUAUCAGAGAAACUGAAACUGAGCACAAGGCGUGUUGAGAAUAACUUAAGCCAGGUUCAGCUUCACCAUCUGUAUUGGUGGGAAGAGCGUUGGUGAAGUCCAUUAGGAAGCUGGAAAAUGGUGUCCAUGUUGUGUAUGGGACGGGCGUGUAUGUGACAUGAUUAAGAGGAGAAGUCUACGUACCAGAGCUAUUAAGCUUUUGAGUCUUGAUGAAUCUGAUGAGAUGCUGAGCAGACGGUUCAAGGACCGAUAAGCUGAUAAGAUCCGCAACAAACUAAUACCGUGGCGGGGCAGGACUAUGCGGAGUGGUGCCACACUUUGCCAUCACUAACGCAGGUCCCGAUUCUUAUGAAAAGAAGAGGUAGUUCGUUGCCAUCAACAACCAAAGUCUUGGUAAAAAGCUUUUUGUAGAUGUCAUUAGUUUAGAUAUAUUUGUCUCAAAAACAUAAAGCUUUCAUGUUUGUACUAACACUUGUGAUAAUAUAUAAAAUCAUUUUAUGAAUA